rnacentral:lncRNA from 1 species
AUGUGAAUGCAUGUAUUUAGCCAGUCAACUGGAAGGCCUUUUACAGUGCUUAUUUUGAGAUCAUGGGCCUUUUAAAAUAAGCAAAUUAAGUAUAUGAAUUCUUUCUAUCCAGAAGCCAUCUGAGCAUCUGCUUCAAGACCCACCUGACCCUGUUGCUGGCAUACAUAAAUGUUGGGACUUGGAUGAUGUGGGAGCACGGAGAUCAUGGAGAUCUGCUCCAUGGUACAGGAAAACAGGAGGAAGGACCGUCUUACAACACGUGCGGAUCAAAUUAACAUAUGAACAUCAUUACAAACGAUGACAUGUUUUGGAAUUUUAGCAUCCCUUUG